GAUGAACGCUAGCGGCAGGCUUAACACAUGCAAGUCGAGGGGUAACAUUGUGCUUGCACAGAUGACGACCGGCGAACGGGUGCGUAACGCGUAUAGAAUCUGCCUUGUACAGGAGGAUAGCCUUUAGAAAUGAAGAUUAAUACUCCAUAAUGUAUAUAAGAGGCAUCUCUUAUAUAUUAAACAUUUAUGGGUACAAGAUGACUAUGCGUCCUAUUAGCUAGAUGGUAAGGUAACGGCUUACCAUGGCAACGAUAGGUAGGGGGUCUGAGAGGAUUAUCCCCCACACUGGUACUGAGACACGGACCAG
rnacentral:rRNA from 1 species